ACGAACGCUGGCGGCGUGCUUAACACAUGCAAGUCGAACGGAAAGGCCCUGCUUUUGUGGGGUGCUCGAGCGGCGAACGGGUGAGUAACACGUGAGUAACCUGCCCUUGACUUUGGGAUAACUUCAGGAAACUGGGGCUAAUACCGGAUAGGAGCUCCUGCUGCAUGGUGGGGGUUGGAAAGUUUCGGCGGUUGGGGAUGGACUCGCGGCUUAUCAGCUUGUUGGUGUGGUAGUGGCUUACCAAGGCUUUGACGGGUAGCCGGCCUGAGAGGGUGACCGGCCACAUUGGGACUGAGAUACGGCCCAGACUCCUACGGGAGGCAGCAGUGGGGAAUAUUGCACAAUGGGCGGAAGCCUGAUGCAGCAACGCCGCGUGCGGGAUGACGGCCUUCGGGUUGUAAACCGCUUUCGCCUGUGACGAAGCGUGAGUGACGGUAAUGGGUAAAGAAGCACCGGCUAACUACGUG
rnacentral:rRNA from 1 species